GGGGUAAAAAAAAAUUACCCUUAAUAAAGCCAAGAGGAGAGAAAAGAACCACUAGUCUGUGGAAGUAUUAUCAUGAUGUGGACCAAGGAGAGGAAGCAUGGAAACGUGGGCAAUGUCCACGUGGAGCCUUGCAGACCCAGUAAGGGAUUUAGGCACAAACCUUUUUCUCUCUCUGUUUGGGGCGUGAACUCUUGUUUUCAUUGAGAUUGUCUUUACUCACUCACUCUCAUCUGCGGGCAGGUUGCAGCCGAUCUGCUCUAUGGGAGGAUUAAAUUUUUAGGUCCUCAAUGGCUUAAAUUGACCUCUCAUUCCAUUUGUUUGAAAUUUGGUGAUAUGGUGUGUGAAUUUCGCGUACAUGUUGUCUUUUCACGUGACACUUUAUUUUUCUCUCCAUGAUCUUCGUAACUUCAUCAUCUUCUCCAUCAUCGAUCAACUCCAACAUACCAAUAAUAUCGACCACUCUAUUAAUACUUUAGCGUAACGUUACUUACGUUAGGAUUUGUAGUGUUAACAUCUUAUGCUAUAAUAUGUAGUCUUGGUUAUAUUGAUUAAUUCCCAAAUUAUAAGGUUAUGAGCCCAUUUGGAAGUGUGGUGAUGACAACCCAACUAUUAAGUUGUUUGGUAACACUUGUAACUGGUCUUUGGCAGCUUACUAGAUUUUUUUUCUCAGCUUCUACUCCACAGUUAUAAUUUUUACUCCACAGCAGCUGCAGCUUAAAAGUUACAGCACCUCAUUUCCAAACACACCAUAUGUCUUUGAUUGUAAUACAUACAACUCAAGUCAUUUUGUAAUUAAUAGAGGCCUCUUCUAAUUUUUUCAGGGUUGAGUGCUCCUAUUAGUGUGUGGGUUCUAUCGAAAACCCUGAGAAGAAAAUUUUGUAGCUCAAUUUGACUCGUGGCAAUGAAUUUUCUCUGGCUUUGGCCUUUUCUACAAGGAGUAGAGAAUAAAGAGUUCCAAUAUUGAAAAAUGACAUAUGUACCAAAAUUUCGUUAAAAUCGAAUCAAUUGAUUUUUAUUUAUUUAUUUUUGGUAGAAUGGUCCAUCACUUAAUUUUGAAUUAAUUUUAACGGAAAAUGUUAAUUUUGGUAGUUCUGAUAAACAGAAUUUUGAUUCGUAUAUCAAUGUUGUCCAAUAUUUGAAGAUGCCUUCCAUAAUAAGAAGAUACAGUAUUUAAUGUGUUUUUAAUUAUUUAAAAAAAGAAUCCUACGAAGUGUUUCACUUAUUCAAAACAUGCAACUAGAAAAGAUUAAUUUUGACAAGCUAUAUAUAGAAAAUUUAAUUUCCACUGAUUCUAUAGAUGCUACCUAAUUGAGAUAGUAAAAUAUCUUUAUAUUGAACACAAGAGAUUGGUGUUUGAAUCCCUCUCACAUGGUGUAGAAGGGGUUGAAUUAUCAUUACACUAAAUAUAUACCCAACAAACAAUAAAUAGAAAAGCAUAUCUAACUCUAGGGCAGUAAUGAAUUUUAUUAGGGAGAUUAUAUCAGACAUUAGCUGAGAAUAAAUUUUAGAGAUCUAGAUAACUAUUAACUCAUAAGCUAACUUUAUACUCCAAUUUAGGGCUACAUGACUUUUAUAAAAUUUUCCACUCACAACAUGCAAAGGCUUAUUCAGAAAUAAUAUAUCUUUUAAAGUUUUUCCUCAGGGAUUUGAUUCAAAAGUGUGCUUCUUGAUGCAACGAGAUGCAAUAAAUUUUUUAUCUCUUUUUGCAGGUUUUCGAUAUCAAAAGUCUUCUUAACAUGCUGCAUUAUAAUGAGUAAGCAUUAUUAAGAACUUGAAGAGACAUUAAAACCCUAACAAACCUUAAGCAUGAUGAAAAGAGUAGAGAGACAUAAAAGCGAUACUAUAUUAUAAAGAAAACAAACAGUGUCUGCUUCAAAGAUGUGGGAAGACACAGAAAAGAUAAUGUAAACAAUUGAAGGGGUGACCCUUUAGCAUUGAAUUGAUCAUAUAAUUAUAUUCAAAUAAAUUAUAUAUUAAGUAUAUGCCAUAUUGGCUGCGCUAGCACUAGUAGAAGCCUGAAGUCCUGAAGAGAUAUUUUAAAAAAUUGGACCAUGAAUCAUGUUUCUGUUUUCUCAGUAGUGCUAAACAACCUGUGCAGGCCAUUGUCUCUCUGUUGCUCUGGAAUCUGCGCACAUGACCACUAGACCCAUCUAACAUGCACAGGCAAAUUUUUUUAAUCACUAUAAUUAGGGAUGACAAUGGGGAGGGGAGGGGAGGAGACCAAUCUCCCCGUACCCAUCCCCGAUAUUUUGCUUAUGUCUUCGUUCCUGUCAAAAUUACUUGAGAGAAUCUUUAUUUCUUCCUCGAAUAAUAACAGGGGAUCCCCGAAGGUCCCCGAUCCCCGAAUAACUAAUACAUUUUUUUUUUGUUUUUGAGUUAAUUAUAUUAAAAUAAAAAAUUUAAAUAAAAGUAAAGUUUAAAAUAUAUCUUGCAUUAAUAUCCAUUACAAAAGUCACAUAUAUUAAAUUAGUAAGUAACGCAGCAUGCAAGGGAUACAAACUUCUUUUACAAAUUAUUGUGAACAAAUUAAUAAUUUAAUACAAAAUUGUUACAAAUAAAAUCGAAUUUAGAUUCAAAAUUAACUUUUUCAAUGGUGGCGUGGACACUUUAUAAAUGUGGACUAUUCCCUUUACAACACAAUAGUUAAGUCGGAGCAAAUCAAGAGCAAAUAUUAGAUUAGAUUAGAUUAGAUUAGAUUAGAUAUUAAAAUUGUGAUUCGUUGUGGGCAAUAAUAACAUCUAAAAAUAA
rnacentral:lncRNA from 1 species